rnacentral:rRNA from 1 species
UUCCGGUUGAUCCUGCCGGAGGCCAUUGCUAUCGGAAUCCGAUUUAGCCAUGCUAGUCGCACGGGUCAGACCCGUGGCGAACAGCUCAGUAACACGUGGCCAAACUACCCUGUGGACGAGGAUAAUCUCGGGAAACUGAGGUCAAUCCUUGAUAGGGCUUCCAUCCUGGAGUGGAGGAAGUCCAAAAGUUGCACUGCAGCACCACAGGAUGUGGCUGCGGCCGAUUAGGUAGACGGUGGGGUAACGGCCCACCGUGCCAGUAAUCGGUACGGGUGAUGAGAGUCAGAGCCCGGAGACGGUAUCUGAGACAAGAUACCGGGCCCUACGGGGCGCAGCAGGCGCGAAACCUUUACACUGCACGCACGUGCGAUAAGGGGACUCCGAGUGCGAGGGCAUAUCGUCCUCGCUUUCAUGUACCGUAGGGUGGUACAUCAACAAGAGCUGGGCAAGACCGGUGCCAGCCGCCGCGGU